UUGGUGCAAAAGUAAUUGCAGUUUUUGCCACUACUUUUAAUAAUAGAAAAUGCAAUUGCUUUUGCACUAACCUAAU
rnacentral:miRNA from 1 species